rnacentral:rRNA from 1 species
GCGGCGCAGCUACCAUGCAGUCGAGGGGUAACAUAGAAAAGCUUGCUUUUCUGAUGACGACCGGCGCACGGGUGCGUAACGCGUAUACAACCUACCUUUUAGCGGGGAAUAGCCCAGGGAAACUUGGAUUAAUGCCCCAUAGUAUAUAGACUUCUCCUGAAGUUUAUAUUAAACAUUUAUGGCUAUUAGAUGGGUAUGCGUCCUAUUAGUUAGUUGGUAAGGUAACGGCUUACCAAGGCAGCGAUAGGUAGGGGUCCUGAGAGGGAGAUCCCCCCACACUGGUACUGAGACACGGACCAGACUCCUACGGGAGGCAGCAGUGAGGAAUAUUGGACAAUGGGCGAGAGCCUGAUCCAGCCAUGCCGCGUGCAGGAAGACUGCCCUAUGGGUUGUAAACUGCUUUUACAGAGGAAGAACCACCCCCACGUGUGGGGGUUUGACGGUACUCUGCGAAUAAGGAUCGGCUAACUCCGUGCCAGCAGCCGCGGUAAUACGGAGGAUCCAAGCGUUAUCCGGAAUCAUUGGGUUUAAAGGGUCCGUAGGCGGGCAGUUAAGUCAGUGGUGAAAGUCUUCCGCUCAACGGGAGAACUGCCAUUGAUACUGAUUGUCUUGAGUUAUUAUGAAGUGGUUAGAAUGAGUAGUGUAGCGGUGAAAUGCAUAGAUAUUACUCAGAAUACCGAUUGCGAAGGCAGAUCACUAAUAAUAUACUGACGCUGAUGGACGAAAGCGUAGGUAGCGAACAGGAUUAGAUACCCUGGUAGUCUACGCCGUAAACGAUGGUUACUAGCUGUUCGGCCCAAUUGAGGGCUGAGUGGUUAAGCGAAAGUGAUAAGUAACCCACCUGGGGAGUACGUUCGCAAGAAUGAAACUCAAAGGAAUUGACGGGGGCCCGCACAAGCGGUGGAGCAUGUGGUUUAAUUCGAUGAUACGCGAGGAACCUUACCAGGGCUUAAAUGUAGUCUGACAGGUCUGGAAACAGACUUUUCUUCGGACAGAUUACAAGGUGCUGCAUGGUUGUCGUCAGCUCGUGCCGUGAGGUGUCAGGUUAAGUCCUAUAACGAGCGCAACCCCUGUGGUUAGUUGCCAGCGAGUAAUGUCGGGAACUCUAGCCAGACUGCCGGUGCAAACCGCGAGGAAGGUGGGGAUGACGUCAAAUCAUCACGGCCCUUACGUCCUGGGGCCACACACGUGCUACAAUGGUAGGGACAGAGAGCAGCCACUUCGCGAGAAGGAGCGAAUCUACAAACCCUAUCACAGUUCGGAUCGCAGUCUGCAACUCGACUGCGUGAAGCUGGAAUCGCUAGUAAUCGCAUAUCAGCCAUGAUGCGGUGAAUACGUUCCCGGGCCUUGUACACACCGCCCGUCAAGCCAUGGAAGCCGGGGGUACCUGAAGUCGGUCACCGCAAGGAGCCGCCUAGGUAAACAGC